AUGGCGAUUGAGAGAGUUUUCGGGAAGAUGGGACAUUUGCAGAGACUGUUGGAUAGAUUCUUGUCGUGUCGUCCAACGGGGUUGGCGAAGAACAGUAGGAUGAUUUUGUAUGCUUUGUAUCCUCUAGUGAGGGAGAGUUUUCAAUUGUAUGCAGAUAUUUGUGAGGUUUUGGCUGUUUUGCUUGACAAAUUCUUUGAUAUGGAGUACUCUGACUGUAUGAAGGCAUUUGAUGCAUAUGGUAGUGCAGCUAAGCAGAUUGAUGA
rnacentral:misc_RNA from 1 species